UUCCGGUUGAUCCCGCCAGAGGUUACUGCUAUCGAGGUUCGACUAAGCCAUGCGAGUCGAAUGUAGCAAUACAUGGCGUACUGCUCAGUAACACGUGGAUAACCUGCCCUUAGGACGGGGAUAAACCCGGGAAACUGGGUAUAAUACCCGAUAGAUCUCGAUUGCUGGAAUGCAUCGAGAUCUAAAGCUCCGGCGCCUAAGGAUGGAUCUGCGGCCUAUCAGGUAGUAGUGGGUGUAGCGUACCUACUAGCCUACGACGGGUACGGGUUGUGAGAGCAAGAGCCCGGAGAUGGAUUCUGAGACACGAAUCCAGGCCCUACGGGGUGCAGCAGGCGCGAAAACUUUACAAUGCUGGCAACAGCGAUAAGGGGACCUCGAGUGCCAGGUUACAAAUCUGGCUGUCGUGAUGCCUAAAAAGCAUUGCAUAGCAAGGGCCGGGCAAGACCGGUGCCAGCCGCCGCGGUAACACCGGCGGCUCGAGUGGUAACCGUUAUUAUUGGGUCUAAAGGGUCUGUAGCCGGCCGGAUAAGUCUCUUGGGAAAUCUGGCAGCUUAACUGUCAGGCUUUCAGGAGAUACUGUCUGGCUCGAGGCCGGGAGAGGUGAGAGGUACUUCAGGGGUAGGGGUGAAAUCUUGUAAUCCUUGAAGGACCACCAGUGGCGAAGGCGUCUCACCAGAACGGACCUGACGGCAAGGGACGAAAGCUAGGGGCACGAACCGGAUUAGAUACCCGGGUAGUCCUAGCCGUAAACGAUACUCGCUAGGUGUCGGCCACGGUGCGACCGUUGUCGGUGCCGUAGGGAAGCCGUGAAGCGAGCCACCUGGGAAGUACGGCCGCAAGGCUGAAACUUAAAGGAAUUGGCGGG
rnacentral:rRNA from 1 species